GGGAGCGGGAGGGGGCGAGCCCCUCGGCGGCCGGGCCGGAAAGAAAUACAGAUGCAAAAGCAAGACCUGGAUAAAUGAGACAAGUAUUGUUCCUUCAAGCAGAAUGUCCUGACUUCAAGACAGAAAGAGACAGAUCUGGCUUCAAUCAAACACAAAGAAAGAGAUGGGUAAAUUGAGAUUGAAAGUGGUAAUUUGUGCCAAUCUAUGCCUUACCCAAUCAAUCAAAGAACAAAACAGCACAGAACUUACGAUGCCCUGGCUUUCACUUCACUGGUCAAACUUUUACCAGAUCACGUUUCAUGCCAAGAGAACCUCAUGCUAACAACUUCACUGUAUUUGAGAGUGGGACCCAGAGCUUCCAAUUCCACUGUUGCAGUAACACUUCAUCACUUGUACUCCUGUAUACAAUUAUUUUUACAGCCAAAUAAAAUAACUUCAGGAAUUCACAUAUUUUUAUCAUAUUGUUUUCCAAGCACCUCAAUUAAAAUACCAUUGGAAGUCUUCCUCUCAUUUGUCAAGAAUUCCCGUAAGCUUGUUUCACUUUUAUGUGGUACCGGAUUAUUUACUCUUGAUUUUUUACCUGGAACAAGCCCUGACUAGUAACUAGAUGGCAAACAUGACACAUCCAAAGCCCAGAAACCUGUUCAUUUGACUUCAUCAGUCUUUUGGGAGUUUGGCUUUUUUCCUGAUCUUGCAUAUGUUAUCUCCAUUUUUCUGCAAGUGCCUCAGCCAGCCUGCCUGAGCCAGUCACAGGCAGGAUUAGUAAAAUUAGGCAUCCACAGAUGUUAGGCUACCAAAAAUGAAUACCAAUGAUGUAAAAGUAUUUCAGGAGCUUUCAUUCAGUGGAGGACUACAGGAUUUGGGGUGGUGGAGAGCCUCCUGCUGCACUUUGGGAGCAGAGGCUACCUAGUAAUGCCCUGCUCUGUUCUCAGAGCAGCUGGGGCAGUUCCUGGGCCAGGGCCAAAGCUCAGCUGGGAGGUGUCAGGAUAUCAGCAGUGGGCAGGUGUUGGGCUACUCCCGCUCAAUGACACACAAAAAGGAAUGGCAGGCUUUAUAGGAGUUUGCAGCAAUGUGGC
ensembl:lncRNA